rnacentral:rRNA from 1 species
GAUGAACGCUGGCGGCGUGCCUAAUACAUGCAAGUCGAGCGCAGCGAGGGCGGGUGCGUAAGACGUAGAUAACCUGCUAUAAGAACGAGAUAACUUCGGGAAACAGGUGCUAAAGCGGCUAAUUAGCUGUGGAUCCUCGCUGCAUUCGCUAGUGGGUAAGGUAACGCCUUACCAAGGCAACGCUGCAUAGCCGACCUGAGAGGGUGAUCGGCCACACUGGAAAUGAGACACGGUCCAGACUCCUACGGGAGGCAGCAGUAGGGAAUCUUCCGCAAGGGGCGAAAGCCUGACGGAGCAACGCCGCGUGAGGGAGGAAGGUUUGCGGAUCGUAAAACUCUGUUAUUAGGGAAGCGGUACCUAAUCAGAAAGCCACGGCUAACUACGUGCCAGCAGCCGCGGUAAUAC